UACGGGGGGAGCAAGCGUUGUUCGGAUUUACUGGGCGUAAAGAGCGCGCAGGCGGUCGUUCAAGUCGCGUGUGAAAGCCCCCGGCUCAACUGGGGAGGGUCACGCGAUACUGAUCGACUCGAAGGCAGGAGAGGGUAGUGGAAUUCCCGGUGUAGUGGUGAAAUGCGUAGAUAUCGGGAGGAACACCAGUGGCGAAGGCGGCUUCCUGGCCUGUUCUUGACGCUGAGGUGCGAAAGCGUGGGGAGCGAACAGG
rnacentral:rRNA from 1 species